AAAAGCUCAAUACAUUGCAGUUACUGUGACAAAGGAGGUCAUGCAUGAGAAACAUGUUGGUAUUUUCAUGGUAAACCCCCACACAAAAUUGGACAAUUGCCUCGUGUAGUGAACGUGACUCAGACUAGUGGAGAUGGUAUCCUACCUUUACUUGAUGCAAAGGAUAAGGUAACCUAUUUUGUUACCUUGGCUAGAGCGUUAAAGCUAUAUUCAUCCUCAUCCAUUGUCUCUGCAUCCCAACAUGAUAGUUCAUUUGCUUAUUUAACAUGGUCUUCCAUCAUUGGGCUAUGGAUUUUUUUAUUCUAGUGCUUCCGAUCACAUCUAGUAAUAGAAACAUUUUCUUUGUUUUUAACUCUCCUUCAAUCUUUUUUA
rnacentral:misc_RNA from 1 species